UUUGAUCCUGGCUCAGAGCGAACGCUGGCGGCAGGCUUAACACAUGCAAGUCGAGCGGGCCCUUCGGGGUCAGCGGCAGACGGGUGAGUAACGCGUGGGAACGUGCCCUUCGGUUCGGAAUAACCCUGGGAAACUAGGGCUAAUACCGGAUACGCCCCUUGGGGGAAAGGUUUACUGCCGAAGGAUCGGCCCGCGUCUGAUUAGCUAGUUGGUGAGGUAACGGCUCACCAAGGCGACGAUCAGUAGCUGGUCUGAGAGGAUGAUCAGCCACACUGGGACUGAGACACGGCCCAGACUCCUACGGGAGGCAGCAGAAGGG
rnacentral:rRNA from 1 species